rnacentral:rRNA from 1 species
UCAAGCUAUAAAGAGCGCAAGGGGAAUGCCUUGGCAUCAGGAGCCGACGAAGGACGUGACAAGCUGCGAUAAGCUUCGGGGAGGAGCAAAUAUCCGUUGAUCCGGAGAUUUCCGAAUGGGGAAACCCACCAGAGCAAUACUCUGGUAUCGUGCGUUGAAUAAAAUAGGCGUACGAGGGGAACGCCCUGAACUGAAACAUCUAAGUAGGGGCAGGAAAAGACAUCAACCGAGAUUCCGCAAGUAGUGGCGAGCGAACGCGGAGGAGGCCAAACCGGUGGAUUUAUUCACCGGGGUUAGGACUGGCAUCACGAUCAGAGGUAUCUAGAAGAACGGCAUGGGAAGGCCGGCCAUAGAGGGUGAGAGCCCCGUAUUUGAAAGAGAAGACUGACAGCCAGUAUCCAGAGUACCGCGGGACACGUGAAACCCCGUGGGAAGACGGGUGGACCACCAUCCAAGCCUAAAUACUACCUGAUGACCGAUAGAGGAGCAGUACCGUGAGGGAAAGGUGAAAAGGACCCCGGGAGGGGAGUGAAAGAGAACCUGAAACCUUGUGCUUACAAGCACUCAAAGCACGUUAAAGUGUGAUGAGGUACUUUUUGUAGAACGGUCCGGCGAGUUAUAGUAACGAGCAAGCUUAAGGUAUUCAGUACCGGAGGCGAAGCGAGAGCGAGUCUGAAUAGGGCGCAUAAAGUUCGUUGCCAUAGACCCGAAACCGGGUGACCUAACCAUGAGCAGGCUGAAGUGAGAGUAAAAUCUCAUGGAGGGCCGAACGCACGUUCGUUGCAAUGACCGGCGAUGACUUGUGGUUAGCGGAGAAAUUCCAAUCGAACUCGGAGAUAGCUGGUUCUCCCCGAAAUAGCUUUAGGGCUAGCCUCAUGUUAGAUAUCCGGAGGUAAAGCACUGAAUGGCCUAGCGUCCGAGAGGAUAGCGAAGCCUAUCAAACUAAGAAUGCCGGAAUAUUGAUGCAUGGGAGUCAGACAGUGUGAGAUAAAUCUCAUUGUCAAAAGGGAAACAGCCCAGAUCUACAGCUAAGGUCCCAAAUUGUAUCUAAGUGGAAAACGAUGUGGAAAUACGCAGACAACCAGGAUGUUGGCUCAGAAGCAGCCACUCAUUUAAAGAGUGCGUAAUAGCUCACUGGUCGAGCGUCUCUGCGCGGAAAAUUUAACGGGGCUAAGAUACAAACCGAAGCUUAGGCUGCACUUUUAGUGCGGGGUAGGGGAGCGUUGUGUAAGCGGAGAAACAGUAGCGAAAGCGGCUGUGGAGUUUACAGAAGUGAGAAUGCCGGAAUGAGUAGCGCGAAUGAUGUGAGAAUCAUCAUGGCCGGAAACCUCAGGUUUUUGGAGGAAGGUUCGUCCGCUCCAAGUUAGGCGGGAGCUAAGGUGAGGCCGAAAGGCGUAGCCGAUGCACAGACGGUAGAGAUUCCGUCCCCACCGAAAGAUUUAAGCGCAGGGACACUUUUAGAAGGUCGGAGCCAGGUGUUGGUUCUGGUAGAGAUCGAGGGAAAUUUAGUACCGAAGUCCGGCUGGAUAAGAGGCGAGAAAAGCUGCGUGUAUAUCUAAGGUGCCCGUACCGCAAACCGACACAGGUAGGUAGGAAGAAGAUUCUAAGGCCAACGGGAGAAGGGUUGUUAAGGAACUCGGCAAAUUGACCCCGUAACUUCGGGAGAAGGGGUGCUCCAGAGAUGGAGCCGCAGAGAAUCGGCCCAAGCAACUGUUUACCAAAAACACAGGUUUGUGCUAAAUCGAAAGAUGACGUAUACGAGCUGACGCCUGCCCGGUGCUGGAAGGUUAAGAGGAGAUGUGCAAGCAUUGAAUCGAAGCCCCAGUGAACGGCGGCCGUAACUAUAACGGUCCUAAGGUAGCGAAAUUCCUUGUCAGGUAAG